rnacentral:rRNA from 1 species
CAGUCGUACCUGCGGGUAAUCAACCUCUUGAGUUUGGUCUUGUGGGUUUCGAAGAGUUUAAAAACCCUCGGAUUUGCGAGGAUUGGGCUCUUCUGGUGUACUUUCUCGUACGGUUAGUCAACAUCGGUUUUGAAUGUCAUAAAAUGACUGGAGGAAUGUGGCUUCGAUCUCGUAUUGAAGUGUUAUAGCCUUUGGUAGAUGUGAUUAUCGGGAUUGAGGAUUGCAACGGAUACCCUUCGGGGCUACCUGUCUGAUCUCUGAUCGUUGCUCUGGUGCCGAAAGCGUGUCUUACGGUUAUACAAAGUCGA